GUUAUUUUGGCAGAAUAGUGCAAUUGAUUUAGAAUCUUUAUAUGUAGUUAUACAAAUAACAC
rnacentral:tRNA from 1 species